GACGAACGCUGGCGGCGUGCCUAAUACAUGCAAGUCGAGCGAUAUCUUUGGGGGCUUGCCCCCAAAGACGUAGCGGCGGACGGGUGAGUAACACGUGGGCAACCUGCCUGUAUGACUGGGAUAACUUCGGAAACCGAAACUAAUACCGGAUAAUCCUUUCCUUCACAUGAAGGAAAGCUGAAAGAUGGCUUUUAGCUAUCACUUACGGAUGGGCCCGCGGCGCAUUAGCUAGUUGGUGAGGUAACGGCUCACCAAGGCAACGAUGCGUAGCCGACCUGAGAGGUUGAUCGGCCACACUGGGACUGAGACACGGCCCAGACUCCUACGGGAGGCAGCAGUAGGGAAUCUUCCGCAAUGGACGAAAGUCUGACGGAGCAACGCCGCGUGAGUGAUGAAGAUUUUCGGAUCGUAUAACUCUGUUGUUUGGGAAGAACAAGUACCGGAGUAACUGCCGGUACCUUGACGGUACCUAACCAGAAAGCCACGGCUAACUACGUGCCAGCAGCCGCGGUAAUACGUAGGUGGCAAGCGUUGUCCGGAAUUAUUGGGCGUAAAGCGCGUGCAGGUGGUUUCUUAAGUCUGAUGUGAAUGCCCCCGGCUCAACCGGGGAGGGUCAUUGGAAACUGGGAGACCCGAGUGCAGAAGAGGAAAGUGGAAUUCCAAGUGUAGCGGUGAAAUGCGUAGAGAUUUGGAGGAACACCAGUGGCGAAGGCGAUUUUCUGGUCUGUAACUGACACUGAGGCGCGAAAGCGUGGGGAGCGAACAGGAUUAGAUACCCUGGUAGUCCACGCCGUAAACGAUGAGUGCUAAGUGUUAGGGGGUUUCCGCCCCUUAGUGCUGCAGCUAACGCAUUAAGCACUCCGCCUGGGGAGUAUGGCCGCAAGGCUGAAACUCAAAGGAAUUGACGGGGGCCCGCACAAGCGGUGGAGCAUGUGGUUUAAUUCGAAGCAACGCGAAGAACCUUACCAGGUCUUGACAUCCUCUGACAAUCCUAGAGAUAGGACGUUUCCCUUCGGGGAACAGAGUGACAGGUGGUGCAUGGUUGUCGUCAGCUCGUGUCGUGAGAUGUUGGGUUAAGUCCCGCAACGAGCGCAUCCCUUGAUCUUAGUUGCCAGCAUUCAGUUGGGCACUCUAAGGUGACUGCCGGUGACAAACCGGAGGAAGGUGGGGAUGACGUCAAAUCAUCAUGCCCCAUAUGACCUGGGCUACACACGUGCUACAAUGGAUGGUACAAAGGGCUGCAAGACCGCGAGGUUUAGCCAAUCCCAUAAAACCAUUCUCAGUUCGGAUUGCAGGCUGCAACUCGCCUGCAUGAAGCCGGAAUCGCUAAUAAUCGCGGAUCAGCAUGCCGCGGUAAAUACGUUCCCGGGCCUUGUACACACCGCCCGUCACACCACGAGAGUUUGUAACACCCGAAGUCGGUGGGGUAACGCAAGGAGCCAGCCGCUUAAGGUGGGACAGAUGAUUGGGGUG
rnacentral:rRNA from 1 species